UUGAAUCUCCAACCCUAGAUUAUGGAAAUUAGUUCAUCAUGCUGUAGAAUUCAAAGUAGGAGAAAAGGUAAACCAUGGAAUUAAAACAAAGAAGAAAGAUAAAGAAAUAAUUGCGAAAUUCAAAGUGCAAAUCCGUUCCAAUGCGUAAAGAAAGUGAAAUAAAAUGAUAAACUAAAGUUCUCCUAUUGUUCUUGCUUCAAAAAGGGAAAAGGAUGGAAGUUCUAAGUGAAAAAAGUGUAUUUGAAUCUCUAAAAACCGCCAUUCUUAUGAGAAAUCCCGUCAGAAAACUGUCAGGGUCAGCCCGGUUGACUAGUGCGCCGCGGCUCACUUCACAUUCUGCCCAUUUUCCUUCAAGCAGUCAACCCGGUUGGCUAGUGCGCCGCGGCUCACUGCCUUCUCUUCUCAAUCUUCUUCUAAUCACCCCCGAUUCAUUGUGAGCCAUGGUUAGCAUGUCUUAAACACUCUCUUUUGCGUCGUUGUGAGCUUUCUUCACAAUCUUCAAAUGCUUUAACAUCGACAUUCUUCAUUUAACACCUAAAGCAUCACAAUUAACCAUUAAGCUCAAAUUAACACAAAAUCACCACUACUCUACACAACUUUUACAAUAAAAUAUGACUAAACUAAUAAUAGACAAUGGCACAAACACGACAAAACAAAUCCCCCCACACUAAGCAUUUGCUUGUCCUCAAGCAAAAAUCUAGUUCAACGUAGUAGAGUUUGAACUUAAGAGACUUCAUUUCCGGUUAACUCAACAUAGACAUCAUAUCCUCUUCAGAACCAUAGUCAACCAUUUCCCAACAU
rnacentral:lncRNA from 1 species